rnacentral:lncRNA from 1 species
AUUUAUUUGGUUUUCGGUAGAGUCCACUGAGAAGUCAGUUUGUUUCCUAAAAAUAAAAAUGGGAAAAAAAUAGAAUUUCUGCUUAAGAUUACUUGGAAAAACAUGGGGAAAAUGUUUUCAAGUAAUUAAUCCUGCUAUGAGUUGAUAUCUUUGCCGUAUCACUCUCUUUGGUUCUGCCUAGGGUAACACAAUAUUUUUGCCACCUGGUAACCAUUUAGUGGCUUGCUGUCUGUCAAAUUGGAAUCAUUAAUCUAAGAUCCACAAAACACACUGACCUCAUCAAGAACUAUCAGCCACAUUAAUCACAUGCUAUUUUCUUUGGAAGCUGAUCAAGUCUGGUUCAUGCGUUACCAACCACGUGCCAUCGUUCUGAAUUUGCC